AACCAGACUCCUACGGGAGGCAGCAGUGGGGAAUCUUCCGCAAUGGGCGAAAGCCUGACGGAGCAACGCCGCGUGAUCGAAUGAAGGCCUUCGGGUUGUAAAGAUCUGUUGACAGGGACGAAUAAGCAAUGCGAAUAGUUUUGUGUAUGACGGUACCUGUUUAGAAAGCUCCGGCUAACUACGUGCCAGCAGCCGCGGUAAUACGUAGGGAGCAAGCGUUGUCCGGAAUUACUGGGCGUAAAGGGCGUGUAGGCGGGCAUGCAAGCCAGAAGUGAAAUCUGGGGGCUUAACCCCCAAACUGCUUUUGGAACUGCGUGUCUUGAGUGAUGGAGAGGCAGGCGGAAUUCCCAGUGUAGCGGUGAAAUGCGUAGAUAUUGGGAGGAACACCAGUGGCGAAGGCGGCCUGCUGGACAUUAACUGACGCUGAGGCGCGAAAGCGUGGGGAGCAAACAGGAUUAGAUACCCGUGUA
rnacentral:rRNA from 1 species